GACGAACGCUGGCGGCGUGCUUAACACAUGCAAGUCGAACGAAGUGGCGAACGGGUGAGUAAUACGUGGGUAACCUGGCCUCCUUUUUGGGAUAGGCCUUGGUAACGGGGUCUAAUACCUAAUAAAGGGGGAUGGGCUGGCGGCCUCUCAGCUUGUUGGUGGGGUGAUGGCCUACUAAGGCGGUGCCGGGUAGCCGGCCUGAGGGGGUGGCACGGAACAGUGGGACUGGCGUACGGCCAAUACGACACCGGGAGGAAGCAUAGGGGGAGAUGGAGCAAUGGGCAAUAGGCUGUUGCAGCAAGGCUGCGUGAGGAAUGAAGGGUUUCGGGUUGUAAUCCUCUUACGCUAUCGAUCCGGUAGGUGGAGAAGAAGCGCCGGCUAACUACGUGCCAGCAGCCGCGGUAAUAC
rnacentral:rRNA from 1 species